UACAUUGCACUGCUUCAGCCUUUCUUCUAUCGCUCCUCUCCAAUGACAGUCCCCGAUUUUCCACCGAGGAGUCACUAGUUCCCCACGACAUGUGUGCGACUGGCCAUUCCCCACCUUGAUCUGGAGCUGGGGCAUGUGGUCCCAGCCUGGAUGUCAGUAUCCUUCCACCACCCUGGCCACAGUGAUUGGGUCUGAGAAGCAGAUUAGCCAAAGGAGAAACAGUCUUGGAAAUUUCAUGUUCAUGCUUAAGAAAGUAAAAUGGAAAGCGGGGGGAGGGUCAGGGGUCAUUCUGAUGAUAUAGUUUUAGGACCUGGAUGUAGCCACACCUGUAGCUGUCAACUCUGUGCCAUAAUACUGCUUUUUUUUUUUUUUCCUUCAAAUUUAAAUACUUUCUAAAGGCAAGGUCUUGCUAUGUUGCUUAGGCUGGUUUUGAAAAGUCCCUUUUGGGGGGAUGCUUUCACUGCUUCACUUCCUUUCUAUGACAGCUCAGGGAAUCAGAAGACAAGGGAGAUGAUUUUUUUUUUUUUUUUUUUUUUUUUGAGACAGGGCUUGCUCUGUUGCCCAGGCUGGAGUGCAGUGGUGCAAUCACAGCUCGCCACAGCCUUGAUCUUCUGGACUCAAGCGACCCUCCUGCUUCAGCCUCCUGAGUAGCUGGGACUGUAGGUGGGUACCAACAUGCCCAGCUAAUUAAAUUUUUUUUUUUUUUUAGAAGUGAGAUCUCACUAUGUCACCCAGGCUGGCCUCAAACUCCUGGGCUCAAGUGAUCGCCCUGCCUUAGCUUCCCAAACAUACAGGUGUGAGCCCCCA
rnacentral:lncRNA from 10 species